UGGGGAAUAUUGCACAAUGGACGGAAGUUUGAUGCAGCGACGCCGCGUGGAGGGUGUAGGCCUUCGGGUUGUGAACUCCUUUUUCUCGCGAAAAAGGCACAGUUUUGGCUGUGUUGAUGGUAGUGGGGGAAGAAGCGCCGGCUAACUACGUGCCAGCAGCCGCGGUAAUACGUAGGGCGCGAGCGUUGUCCGGAUUUAUUGGGCGUAAAGAGCUCGUAGGUGGUUCGUCGCGUCUGUCGUGAAAGCCAGCAGCUUAACUGUUGGUCUGCGGUGGGUACGGGCGGGCUGGAGUGCGGUAGGGGUGAAGGGAAUUCCUGGUGUAGCGGUGGAAUGCGCAGAUAUAAGGAGGAACACCGAUGGCGAAGGCAGGUCACUGGGCCGUUACUGACACUGAGGAGCGAAAGCGUGGGGAGCGAACAGG
rnacentral:rRNA from 1 species